rnacentral:rRNA from 1 species
UGACCUCAAAUCAAGUAGGACUACCC